AACAAACGCUGGCGGCGUGCCUAAUACAUGCAAGUCGAACGGGGAAAGCUUUCGGGUGAGUACUAGUGGCGCACGGGUGAGUAACGCGUGGAUAAUCUGCCUUAGAGUGGGGGAUAACUAGUCGAAAGAUUAGCUAAUACCGCAUAAGACCACAAGAACUGCGGUUCAAGGGGUCAAAGGUUUUUCGCUCUAAGAUGAGUCCGCGUAAGAUUAGCUAGUUGGUGAGGUAAUGGCUCACCAAGGCGACGAUCUUUAACUGGUCUGAGAGGAUGAUCAGUCACACUGGAACUGAGACACGGUCCAGACUCCUACGGGAGGCAGCAGUAGGGAAUAUUGCACAAUGGAGGAAACUCUGAUGCAGCGACGCCGCGUGAGUGAUGAAGGCCUUCGGGUCGUAAAGCUCUGUCGCAAGGGAAUAACACAAUGAAUGUACCUUGCAAGAAAGGAUCGGCUAACUUCGUGCCAGCCGCCGCCGUAAUAC
rnacentral:rRNA from 1 species